UGGGGAAUCUUGGACAAUGGGCGCAAGCCUGAUCCAGCCAUGCCGCGUGAGUGAUGAAGGCCCUAGGGUCGUAAAGCUCUUUCAACUGUGAAGAUAAUGACGGUAGCAGUAGAAGAAACCCCGGCUAACUCCGUGCCAGCAGCCGCGGUAAUACGGAGGGGGUUAGCGUUGUUCGGAAUUACUGGGCGUAAAGCGUACGUAGGCGGAUCAGAAAGUUGGGGGUGAAAUCCCAGGGCUCAACCCUGGAACUGCCUCCAAAACUCCUGGUCUAGAGUUCGAGAGAGGUGAGUGGAACUCCGAGUGUAGAGGUGAAAUUCGUAGAUAUUCGGAAGAACACCAGUGGCGAAGGCGGCUCACUGGCUCGAUACUGACGCUGAGGUACGAAAGUGUGGGGAGCAAACAGG
rnacentral:rRNA from 1 species